rnacentral:rRNA from 1 species
UACGAAGGGGGCUAGCGUUGCUCGGAAUCACUGGGCGUAAAGGGUGCGUAGGCGGGUCUUUAAGUCAGGGGUGAAAUCCUGGAGCUCAACUCCAGAACUGCCUUUGAUACUGAGGAUCUUGAGUUCGGGAGAGGUGAGUGGAACUGCGAGUGUAGCGGUGAAAUGCGUAGAUAUCUGGAGGAACACCGGUGGCGAAGGCGGCAUCCUGGACCGACACUGACGCUGAGGCGCGAAAGCUAGGGUAGCAAACGGG